AAGAUUUCAACCCAAGACCCUGGAGAGUUCCACAUAACCCUGUAAAGUUCAGUUGCCUGGUGGGGGUGUCAAGGAGAGACUUCCCUGCUGACAGUCAAAAGGAAUUAGUCAUGUGGUUGUUCGGAAUGUGCAAUCACCUGAGACUAAAAUGACCUCACCAGAGUAAACGAC
rnacentral:lncRNA from 1 species